UACGAAGGGGGCUAGCGUUGUUCGGAUUUACUGGGCGUAAAGCGCACGUAGGCGGGUCGUUAAGUCAGGGGUGAAAUCCCGGAGCUCAACUCCGGAACUGCCUUUGAUACUGGCGACCUUGAGUCCGGGAGAGGUGAGUGGAACUCCGAGUGUAGAGGUGAAAUUCGUAGAUAUUCGGAAGAACACCAGUGGCGAAGGCGGCUCACUGGCCCGGUACUGACGCUGAGGUGCGAAAGCGUGGGGAGCAAACAGG
rnacentral:rRNA from 1 species